UUAAAUCAGCGGAUCUGUUCAUAACAGGUCCAUCUGACCAUUGAGGAGCAGGUCUGUGUUUGCUAAUAUGUGUUUCACUUGUAUUAUUUGAUUUGGUGAUCUUCAAUGAUCAGUCUGGUAUGUUUUUGUAUGAGCAUCCCAUUGCCCGUUCUCUUCAUUUUUCUUGCAUGGCUCUUGGCCUGGGAGUUGCUGAUCUGAGCUUCUUGUGUACAGUGUGAGGAGCCAACAAUUGUGGUGGGGGUCCCCAAGAAUCCUGAUCCCUGUGCAGCAACUCCAGCCUGCGUCUGUAUCACAUGCCAAGCCUCUGCGACCCGCUCUGGAGCAUCAAGCGGUCAGAGGUCAGAACUCGGAGCGACUGGGUCGGUGAAAAGCUCUUGGUUGACCCAAGGAUGUGAUGUGGGUAGAGAGAGACUGGGACACUACAGACCGGAGGAACAGCACAAAAGGUGGAGCAUGGAGAGAAGCUAGCUAGGUAGCGUCAAAUCCUUUGAUUCAGAGCCUUUUCGCCUCCAGCGAGACAAGGGCAUCUCUGCUCAUAUCGAGCCACUCAGCCAGGCCAAGGCUUGAAACGCUUUCUUCAUCUCACGUCAGGUGAAGAAGUAAUGUGUGGAAUUCUACCGCUCUACAUUCCAUUGGAUCGUUUCAUCUGUUCUCAUGGCUUUCUCUAAUCUGGCAGAACAUGGGUGACAACACUGUUCUUGACUCUGAAACUCCCUGGAACAGAAAAGGGUAAGAUUGACGGCUGACGAUCGGUACGUGUGUGCUCCCUCAGCAUCAGGCAACACUCGACGGCUGGCUUGUGUGAUCGCGCGUGUUGCCGCGUAGACGCAAGUCUCCGGCUGACAUGAGCAGCAGCCAGCGAUCGGUUCAAAGUCCUCGUAGGAGGACCAUCUCUUCUGCAUCAGCCGGAGAAUUGUUUAUGGAAUAACAGAACGAGAAGGCUGGCUAUGGCUAGCAUCUCGAGAUCGCCGGUGCCAAGAUGUGCCAUACGCACGCACUGACUGACUGAAUUCUUCAGAGAAUUGACCCCGUUCUGGACUUCUGAUCGACCCUGAUCGCUCCGUGCCAAGCUCUAAUAAUUGGGCCCAGGUCCAAAGAACGAAUGUAAUGACCGUUCCUCCAUGUCAGUAAAGCCUCCUGUUUUGAGAUGUUAAAAAAAAUGGAAAUCGAAUUUGGACCAUGGCAUGGCCAGCGAUGGGGGAGCUAGCGAUAUGAAUGAUACUGAGGUUGCGUCCACGUAUCAUGGGGGUGCGUCCAUUCUACCAGCAGACUGAUGGUUUCGGGAGGCGUACGUGCCUCGAGAGCGGCAAAUAACAGGAGCAUUUCUUCUCAUCCUGCCAGAAUCUCUGAGGCGCGGUUCUCAAAUUUGGACCAUGGCAUUGG